GAGUUGGAGCAGCAAACUCUGUCUGGAGGUUGCGAAAUUUUUUUCAGGGAAGAAAAUAUUGCAGCGCAGUCUUGAAGAAUGAAUAGAUAUUUUCCUUGAAUAAAACAGGAUGCACAGAAGCACAUGAAUCUCUUGGGAGAAGUCAGCUACUAAAGGAAGACAGAAAAGGAACACAAUGCUCAGAUUAGAAAGAUAGUGCUUUAGCACCACAGCCCCAAACUCAGACAUUCAACAGAUGUUUAUUGAGCACCUGUUAUGUGCCAGGCUUAUUCCAUGUACUUGGGAUACAUCAGUGAAAAGAGCAGGCAAGACCCCUUCCUUGCAUGAAAUUUAUGUUCUAAUGGAAUGAGACAUAUAAUAAGAGAAAAUGUGUAUAGGACAGUCAAAGGUGUUAAGUGCUAUAAAGAACAACAGCAAAAACAACUAAAAAUGUAGAGCAGGAGUAUUGGGGAGUUUGUAAUCCCCAGAUGACAUCACCAGAGGGCUGAGUAUAGAUACAGAAGUGAAGAGGACUGAGGACUAAGCCAUGGAAGUACUCCAACAUUAAAAGGACUGACAGAAAAACAGCUUCUGGCAGAAGAAACAGAGAAGGGGCCACCAGUGAACGGCAGGACAGCCAGAGAAGUGGGGAGACCUGGAAAUUCCAAAGGAAAUCACAGAUAUGUAGUGUCACAGAUAACAUAGUGAUCCGAUUUACCAAACACUGCCGGAUAUUCAAUUAGGCAUGGACUGAGAAUUGACUACUGGAUUUAUUAAUGUGAUGUUAUUGAAGACCUCUACAAGACCAGUUUCAACUCUGUGGUAGGAACAAAAUCCUGCUCAGGGGGGUUUAGGAGAAAGAUUGGAGACAUUGAAUGUAGAUAAUGGUUUGGAUGAAUUUUGCUACAAAGUAGAGGGUGUAGCUGGCAAGUAAAGUGCUUUCAAGAGAAAUUAUUGGAAGAUGGGAAAAAUAAGAGCAUAUAUGUAAAGCACACUAGAGAAGAGUGAAAAUAAACUGUGAAACAUUGAGAUCUUCAAAACAAUAGUGGCUAACUGUCUAAGUAAAGAUUAAGACUGAGGAUUAGUAAGGAGCACUUAAGCAUCUUAGAACUGAUUAGACCAUGUGGGACAAGAACAAGUCAGAGACGCUAUGGGGGAAUCCAGUGAGACCCAUUCUACUCCCCUUAACCACAUAGGCAAGAAGAUGUGGGGAAUUGUUAUCAGAAUCCACUGCCUAAAAAUGGUAUAUAUAUUCUUCAUUUUAGCUGCUGACAAUACAGUUUUGG
rnacentral:lncRNA from 10 species